GUUACCUUGCCGGAGUGGUUAACGGGAUCGCCUGCUAAGGUCAUAUGACUUUGCAAUCAGCGGUUGGGCUUUGCCCGCGAGUGUUCGAAUCGCUCAGGUAACG
rnacentral:tRNA from 1 species